GAAGUGGUGGCUCAGUGGUCAAGGCAUAGGGCUACUGAUCAUAUGGUCAUGAGUUUAAAUCCCAGCACUGCC